UUUCCGGGUUUGAUAAAAGAAGGUGGGGCAGCAUUUAAUGACAUUGCUAUCUCUUUGUAAAGCACGGUGGCAGCUUUCAAAAAUUCUCACGUGCUGUGAUUUCAUUCCACAGUGUCCCAGAAGGCUGAGCAAGGCCAUACUUUCUCUAACGUUAGGGAACCACUGCUCAUCAUCAUUGCUUAUUGUGGAACAGAUAUGUUGGUCAUAGCUGUAGUGACGGCAGUUCAACUGAUUCUUCUAUGUACUGGGUCUGCUCCCCCAACCACCCUGAAAAUUGAGAGAAUCCUGGGCAAGGCUGGAGGAGGAGAAGCAAUAGAAUGGCAUUUCAGGUUCUGGAGUUUGGCGGACCAGGUUGUGCCAGUGAGUUCUUACACAUGCAGAAGUUUUGGAUCCUCCACUACCACGGACUAAAACAAAUACAGCAGGCGGGCAUGUUUGGAGCACUGUGUCUGUCAGCCCCCAGGAAUCCAGCAGUAAGUGUUGGUUAUUAUUAGUAUUGCUAUUAACGUGGGUACUAUUGCUAGUUAACAUGUGACAGCCCUUUGUAAAUUGUAUAAAAUAUAAAGAUCAUUAUUCUCAUCACUACUGUUAACUACUCAUUGUAAUAAAGUUCAGUUGAAGAAACAA